rnacentral:rRNA from 1 species
UAUUAAAGCAAUUGAAUACUUUAUUUCUAAAUAUUUAUUUAUUUAAAACAUUACUAUAUUUAGUAAAGGAGAUUAAAAAUUAUUAUGUAUUCUUAGGUCUUAAGUACUGUAGAGGAACAACUAUCAAUAAAAAGAAAGAAAAAAUUAAACUUU